GGGGAAUAUUGCACAAUGGGCGAAAGCCUGAUGCAGCAACGCCGCGUGAGUGAUGAAGGUCUUCGGAUUGUAAAGCUCUGUCUUUUGGGACGAUAAUGACGGUACCAAAGGAGGAAGCCACGGCUAACUACGUGCCAGCAGCCGCGGUAAUACGUAGGUGGCGAGCGUUGUCCGGAUUUACUGGGCGUAAAGGGUGCGUAGGCGGAUGUUUAAGUGAGAUGUGAAAUACCCGGGCUUAACUUGGGUGCUGCAUUUCAAACUGGAUAUCUAGAGUGCAGGAGAGGAGAAUGGAAUUCCUAGUGUAGCGGUGAAAUGCGUAGAGAUUAGGAAGAACACCAGUGGCGAAGGCGAUUCUCUGGACUGUAACUGACGCUGAGGCACGAAAGCGUGGGUAGCAAACAGGAUUAGAUACCCUGGUAGUCCACGCCGUAAACGAUGAGUACUAGGUGUAGGAGGUAUCGACCCCUUCUGUGCCGCAGUAAACACAUUAAGUACUCCGCCU
rnacentral:rRNA from 1 species